rnacentral:sRNA from 1 species
AAGCGACCGAUUCAAAGCGCCGGAGAAGGGGUAGGAAGCCGGCCGCGUAUCACCCGCGCAAGACGGAGUGAACGCCCCCUAGUGUCGCCCGGGCCUGCCCAUGCGU